AACGAACGCUGGCGGCAGGCUUAACACAUGCAAGUCGAACGCAUCGCAAAAUGAGUGGCAGACGGGUGAGUAACGCGUGGGAAUCUACCCAUUUCUGCGGAAUAGCUCUGGGAAACUGGAAGUAAUACCGCAUACGCCCGACGGGGGAAAGAUUUAUCGGGGAUGGAUGAGCCCGCGUUGGAGUAGCUAGUUGGUGGGGUAAAGGCAUACCAAGGCGACGAUCGAUAGCUGGUCUGAGAGGAUGAUCAGCCACAUUGGGACUGAGACACGGCCCAAACUCCUACGGGAGGCAGCAGUGGGGAAUAUUGGACAAUGGGCGCAAGCCUGAUCCAGCCAUGCCGCGUGAGUGAUGAAGGCCUUAGGGUUGUAAAGCUCUUUCACCGAUGAAGAUAAUGACGGUAGUCGGAGAAGAAGCCCCGGCUAACUUCGUGCCAGCCGCCGCAGUAA
rnacentral:rRNA from 1 species